UACGAAGGGGGCUAGCGUUGUUCGGAGUUACUGGGCGUAAAGGGCGCGUAGGCGGUCACGCACGUCCGUUGUGAAAUCGCUCGGCUCAACUGGGCGGGGUCAGCGGAUACGGUGUGGCUGGAGCAAGCUAGGGGGCAAUGGAAUUCCCGGUGUAGUGGUGGAAUGCGUAGAUAUCGGGAGGAACACCAGUGGCGAAGGCGGUUGCCUGGAGCUUUGCUGACGCUGAUGCGCGAAAGCGUGGGGAGCGAACGAGG
rnacentral:rRNA from 1 species